GGCUCUGGGCAUCGAGUGGCCAGUGCUGGCCAUUUGAUGGUGGUGGUUGGGGGAAUCAAAGUUAAUUCUCAGGGUUGGAUCCAAAGUGGUUAGGUCAGGGUCUUUACCUCCUAGAGCCAAUGUCCACCCUGACCUCCUUUAUGUGGGGAGGAGGGGGUAGAAAGCAGAUAUUCAAACAUGGGAGUGACCCCAAGCUCCUUGCCAUCUCUCCUGAGAUCUGGGAAUCUUGACUCUUUGAGGUUCUACAUAGGUUCUCUGCCUUUCCUCUCACCUCAUCUCUGUAUCUCAGCCCUCAUCCUUCCUUAGCCUUCAUGGGAAAGAGACCCAUUCCAUAUGUAUUGAGUUCAUGUCCAGUCAGGCCAAUACAUGCAUGGACACGUGGAUAAACAUGAGCACUCACAUGCACAAGUGUAGGUUAUUAAGAACAAGCCCUCUGAAGCCAGAUAAAGCUGGAUAUAGGCAUUCACAUUCCCAUUUCUUGCUGUGUGCCUUUGGGCCCCUGAACCUUGCCAAUACAAACAGAACAACCUAACCUGCCACACAAAAUUACCAACAGUUAAGUCUGUUUAGAUGUGAACCUUGCACAGAACUGAGACAGGUUCAGCGCUUCCGAGGCCCAUUUCUUUAUCCAUAAGAUGGUGAUAGUCUACCCCUCCCCGCCUCCCCAGGUCUUCUGAUGGAGGUGGGGUGCCUGGAUUGGCACUGGGAGCUAAGUUAGCACUCAGUUCUCAGUGGUGUGUUGGCAUUGUCAUCCCACAGAGCGGUCUGUACCUGGGAGUUUGGAUCUGAGGAUACUGAGUUGGGAAGAGAGGUGGUGGAGAGAGGCUCGAGCUCUGGGGGGCUGGGAGGAUUAGAGAGACAGAUGGGCUUUGGUGACUGAUGUUUGUGUUGUCCAAGCGGAGAGUCGGGGGCCGGUAAGACGGUUAACACCAAGCGGGUCAUUCAGUACUUUGCCAUCGUCGCUGCCCUGGGAGACGGGCCGGGCAAGAAGGCAGUAAGACUCGCCCACUCGGGCACCAAUCCCCACUGCUUUCCCCUGGUUUUUUGUUUUGUUGAUGGUGGGUUUUUUUUUUAAUUUUUUCCUUUCUUUUUAAAAUUGCAACCCCCCAGAGCCCCAAGCCCUGCCUGAGCCUCCUACCUUGGUGGGAGUCUCUGGCCUGAGCAAGGCUCGACCAGAAAACCCAUGGCCACCUCUGUCACUGUUAGACCUGAGCCAGACCUGCUACAGCUCUCCCUGGAACCACACAGACGGGAGCCACAUCACUGCUCCUGGAUGCUUGUGUGUGUGACUUUUCUGUUGUGACUGUCAUUCUUCUUAAAGAGUUUACCAAACAGGGUGCUUUUAUCUGGAAGUGAUUAUUUUCUUGGGCCACAUUCAUCAAGGUCUCUGUUACCUGUUCCCAAUGAGAGGAGCAGACUGAUCCACAGACGUUAAUUACCCAGAGCUGAGGGCACUGGGAAUUCUCCACUGUUGCAUGGCCCAUGGUUUUGAUUAAGAUUUUUUUUGAAACUUCUUAAACAAUGGAGACAUAGUGUUUUUUUUUGUUUGUUUGUUUGUUUUCAAUGUGACUAUGCUAUCCCUGGCCCAAAGGCCAGCUGUAGAGAGCUCUGUGGCUUUGGCUGACCCCACACAUCUACACCGACAUGAGCGGACCCAGGCGUCCUCUGCUCGACCCACGUUCCUGGUCCUGUUGAGCCUUGCUUUAUUCUGGGGCAACUUUUUUUCUUUUUCUUUUCCUUUUUCUUUUCCUUUUCCCUUUCCUUUUUCUUUUUCUUUCUUUUCCUUUUCCUUUUUCUUUUUUCUUCUUGCUGUGUUUUCUUUCUUCUUUUUCCAUUUGUUGUUUGUUUUGUUUUGUUUUUUGUCUCUUGUUCCCCCCCACCCCAGCCUUUUCCCCAUUUCCUCACUCGAUUGUCUUGAUUUUGGAUUUUGUUUGUUUGGGGUUUUGGUUGCAGCCAUAGUUUUUGUUUUUGCUGUUGACUUUUUGAGAUUCUUUCUUCCCUUCCUUUCCCACCAUUUCCCAAGCCCUGGAAGGUCUUUGACGAUACUGUAGACAAGUAGGGUAACCCUGAAUCAGGAAAAGAAGACAGAGCCCAAAUCUGGCAGGAACACACCUGGAAGGGCUGGGACAGGGGAGUACCUGCAUAGGAGGGGGCUAUGAUCCUGGAGUCAGGCUAUGGGGGCAGCUCAGCAGAAGGUCACCCACAGGAUUUGGGAACUUAAAAGCUGCACUGACACCCUCCCUCUCCUGGAGCUCAGAGUCGGCCAACCCAGCCAGAAAGAGUCUUGACCAAAAGCAGUGACUGUGAGUUGCACAGGGAGGGAAGAGGCCCCUCUUCCACUUCUCAGCAAUGUGUUGGGUGCUUUCUUAAGUCUCGGAAGGGGGAGGGGGAGGGGGAGAAUAAAGCUAGGAGGGGAGAAAGGAGUGUGGACUCUAGGUAAUGUCCUUGCUCUGACAGAGCUCAGCACACGCAGCUGGAAGGGCUGUCUUGGGUAGCAGUCCACAUGCCGUGCUGAAGACAUAAGUAUGGGACAUAAGACAUAAGAAGACAUAAGACCGGGAAAGUAUGAAGGGACCUCCAGGGCGGUUGGGGGAGGGCUUGAAGUCGCUGCACUAUCAAAGAUCAGAUCAGGGAGGUCUUCCCAGAGGAGGAGGAGCUUUGGUGGGCUGGGCCGCUAAGGAGAAAAAACUCUAGUGUGCCCCUAGUGCAGAUGUGGACAAUGAAGAGAUUCCUGAGAAGGCAGAGACAGGGUUGGGCUUGGAACACAGGAGACUCUAGUGCUGACCCCCUGCCUCAAACCCUCAAGAUGGUGCUUGCUUCCCCUCCCUCUCUAGCAUCUCCUAGCUAAUCAGUCCAGGAGAGCUAGGUGUAUAGAGUGCUCCAGGAGAGAAUGUUACGAUUAACAUUACUAAAUAUGUAGGUGGUGACUAACAUACACUGUCCCACUGACUACCCUCCCAAUGCCCCCACCCUUACUCUGAAAGACCACACACCCUCUGACACUUUCCUUCUCCCUCCAGCAAUUUCUGGCGACAAAGACAGGGGUAAGUAUUGGGCCAGCUGUGGGGUAGACAACACUUAUGGGGUCCUGGGGAUGUCCCCUUCUCCAUGAUCUGCUCUGGCCCUCAUUCCCGCUGCCACCAGGGCACCCUUGAGGAUCAAAUCAUCGAGGCUAACCCUGCCAUGGAGGCUUUUGGCAACGCCAAGACUCUGAGGAACGACAACUCCUCCCGUUUUGGCAAGUUCAUCCGCAUCCACUUUGGUCCCACUGGGAAGCUGGCCUCUGCGGACAUUGAUAGCUAUCUCCUGGAGAAGUCGCGAGUGAUCUUCCAGCUGCCCGGUGAGCGUGGUUACCAUGUCUACUACCAGAUCCUCUCAGGGAAGAAGCCGGAGCUGCAGGACAUGCUGCUCCUGUCCAUGAAUCCCUACGACUACCACUUCUGCAGCCAGGGGGUCACCACUGUGGACAACAUGGAUGACGGCGAGGAACUUAUCGCCACUGAUCAUGCAAUGGAUAUCCUGGGCUUCAGUGUGGAUGAGAAGUGUGCCUGCUAUAAGAUCGUGGGUGCUCUCCUGCACUUUGGCAACAUGAAGUUCAAACAGAAGCAGAGAGAGGAACAGGCUGAGGCAGACGGCACUGAGAGUGCGGACAAGGCUGCCUACUUGAUGGGUGUCAGCAGCGGGGACCUCCUCAAAGGUCUCCUGCAUCCCCGGGUUCGUGUGGGAAAUGAGUAUGUUACCAAGGGCCAGAGUGUGGAGCAGGUGGUAUUUGCCGUGGGGGCCCUGGCCAAGGCUACCUACGACCGGUUGUUCCGAUGGCUGGUUUCUCGAAUCAAUCAGACCCUGGACACAAAGCUCCCUCGACAGUUCUUUAUCGGGGUCCUGGACAUCGCUGGUUUUGAGAUUUUUGAGUUUAACAGCUUCGAGCAGCUGUGCAUCAACUUCACCAACGAGAAGCUGCAGCAGUUCUUCAACCAGCACAUGUUCGUGCUGGAGCAGGAGGAGUACAAGCGGGAGGGCAUCGACUGGGUCUUCAUCGACUUCGGCCUUGACCUGCAGCCUUGUAUCGACCUCAUCGAGAAGCCUCUGGGCAUCCUGUCCAUCCUGGAGGAGGAGUGCAUGUUCCCCAAGGCUUCAGACGCAAGCUUCAGGGCCAAGCUCUAUGACAAUCAUUCUGGGAAGUCACCUAAUUUCCAGCAGCCUCGCCCAGACAAGAAACGCAAGUACCAGGCUCACUUCGAGGUGGUCCACUACGCAGGCGUGGUUCCUUAUAGCAUCGUGGGCUGGCUGGAGAAAAACAAGGAUCCCCUCAAUGAGACGGUGGUCCCCAUCUUCCAAAAGUCACAGAAUAGGCUCUUGGCCACCCUCUAUGAGAACUAUGCAGGUUCUUGCUCCACCGAGCCCCCCAAGUCUGGGGUGAAAGAGAAGCGCAAGAAAGCAGCAUCAUUUCAGACCGUGUCUCAGCUUCACAAGGAGAACCUCAACAAGCUCAUGACCAACCUGCGGGCCACACAGCCCCAUUUCGUCCGCUGUAUCGUCCCCAACGAGAACAAGACUCCAGGGGUCAUGGAUUCCUUCUUGGUGUUACACCAACUACGCUGCAACGGGGUCUUGGAGGGAAUCCGGAUCUGCCGCCAAGGGUUCCCCAACAGACUGCUGUAUGCUGACUUCAGGCAGCGGUACCGAAUCCUGAACCCCAGUGCCAUCCCAGACGACACCUUUGUGGACAGCAGAAAGGCCACAGAGAAGCUGCUGGGCUCCCUGGACAUCGACCACACUCAGUAUCAGUUUGGCCACACCAAGGUGUUCUUCAAGGCUGGGCUUCUAGGCAUCCUGGAGGAGCUGCGGGACCAGCGUCUGGCUAAGGUGUUGACACUGCUGCAGGCUCGGAGCCGGGGCCGCCUCAUGCGGCUGGAGUACCAGCGCAUGCUAGGGGGAAGGGAUGCCCUGUUCACCAUACAGUGGAACAUCCGGGCCUUUAAUGCCGUCAAGAACUGGUCCUGGAUGAAGCUCUUCUUCAAGAUGAAGCCACUGCUGCGCUCAGCACAGGCGGAGGAGGAGCUGGCGGCACUGCGGGCAGAGCUGCGGGGGCUGCGAGGGGCCCUGGCUACGGCUGAGGCUAAGCGGCAGGAGCUGGAGGAGACUCAAGUCAGUGUCACUCAGGAGAAGAACGACCUGGCCCUGCAGCUGCAGGCAGAGCAGGACAACCUCGCAGAUGCAGAGGAGCGCUGCCACUUGCUGAUCAAGUCCAAGGUGCAGCUGGAGGCGAAGGUGAAGGAGCUGAGCGAGCGGCUGGAGGACGAGGAGGAAGUGAACGCGGACCUGGCCGCCCGCAGGCGCAAGCUGGAGGACGAGUGCACGGAGCUCAAGAAAGACAUCGAUGACCUGGAGCUGACGCUGGCCAAGGCCGAGAAAGAGAAACAAGCCACAGAGAACAAGGUGAAGAACCUGACAGAAGAGAUGGCGGCACUGGAUGAAGCCGUGGUCCGCCUGACUAAGGAGAAGAAGGCAUUGCAGGAGGCUCACCAGCAGGCUCUGGGUGACCUGCAGGCUGAGGAGGACCGUGUGAGCGCACUGGCCAAGGCCAAGAUCCGGUUGGAACAGCAAGUGGAGGAUGUGAGUUGGAGUCCCUUGGGGGACCCUCAGGGCGGCGACAGUUACACUGGCUUGCUGGAAGCUGAGCCCUACUCUACCCCACAGCUGGAGUGCUCCCUGGAGCAAGAGAAGAAGCUGCGCAUGGACACAGAACGCGCCAAGCGCAAACUUGAAGGAGACUUGAAGCUGACGCAGGAGACGGUGACAGACACAACACAAGACAAGCAGCAGUUGGAGGAGAAGUUGAAGAAGAAGGAUUCGGAGCUGAGUCAGCUGAACCUGCGGGUGGAGGAUGAGCAGCUCGUGGGGGUGCAGCUGCAGAAGAAGAUCAAGGAGCUGCAGGCUAGGGCCGAGGAGCUGGAGGAGGAGCUGGAGGCGGAGCGAGCAGCCCGCGCCCGCGUGGAAAAGCAGCGAGCCGAGGCAGCGCGGGAGCUGGAGGAGCUGAGCGAGAGGCUGGAGGAGGCUGGCGGAGCUUCCGCGGGGCAGCGUGAGGGUUGCCGCAAGCGUGAGGCUGAGUUGGGCCGGCUGCGGCGGGAGCUGGAGGAGGCAGUUCUGAGGCACGAGGCCACUGUGGCUGCCCUGCGCCGCAAGCAGGCCGAUAGCGCUGCAGAGCUGAGCGAGCAGGUGGACAGCCUGCAGCGCAUCCGGCAGAAACUGGAAAAGGAGAAGAGCGAGCUGCGCAUGGAGGUGGACGAUCUGGGCGCCAGCGUGGAAACUCUGGCCCGUGGCAAGGCCAGUGCGGAAAAGCUGUGUCGGACCUAUGAGGACCAGCUGAGCGAGGCCAAAAUCAAAGUGGAGGAGCUGCAGCGACAGCUGGCCGACGCCAGCACCCAGCGGGGGCGGUUACAAACGGAGAAUGGGGAGCUGGGCCGCCUGCUGGAGGAGAAGGAGUCCAUGAUCAGCCAGCUGAGCCGCGGGAAGACCUCAGCAGCGCAGAGUCUGGAGGAACUUCGGCGGCAGCUGGAGGAAGAAAGCAAGGCCAAGGGUGCGCUGGCUCAUGCAGUGCAGGCCCUGCGGCACGACUGCGACCUCCUCCGAGAGCAGCACGAGGAAGAGUCUGAGGCUCAGGCUGAGCUGCAGCGGCUGCUGUCCAAAGCCAACGCGGAGGUGGCCCAGUGGCGGAGCAAGUAUGAAGCAGAUGCCAUCCAAAGGACGGAGGAGCUGGAGGAGGCCAAGAAGAAGCUGGCCCUGCGGCUGCAAGAGGCAGAAGAAGGCGUAGAGGCCGCAAAUGCCAAAUGCUCCUCACUGGAGAAGGCCAAGCUGCGGCUGCAGACAGAGUCGGAGGAUGUGACCUUGGAGCUGGAGCGGGCCACCUCGGCCGCCGCAGCCCUGGAUAAGAAGCAGCGGCACUUGGAGCGGGCGCUGGAGGAGCGGAGGCGGCAGGAGGAGGAGAUGCAGCGGGAACUCGAGGCGGCACAGAGGGAGGCUCGAGGUCUGGGGACAGAGCUCUUUCGACUGCGACAUAGCCACGAGGAAGCGCUUGAGGCUCUGGAGACACUCAAGCGGGAGAACAAGAAUCUGCAGGAGGAGAUCAGUGACCUUACAGACCAGGUCAGCCUCAGCGGGAAGAGCAUCCAGGAACUGGAGAAGGCCAAGAAGGCGCUGGAAGGGGAGAAGAGUGAGCUGCAAGCUGCACUGGAGGAGGCUGAGGGGGCACUGGAGUUGGAAGAGACAAAGACUCUACGGAUCCAGUUGGAGUUGUCCCAGGUCAAGGCAGAGGUGGACCGGAAGCUGGCGGAGAAGGACGAGGAGUGUACUAACCUGAGGCGCAACCACCAGCGGGCUGUGGAAUCCCUGCAGGCCUCCCUGGAUGCAGAGACAAGGGCCCGCAAUGAAGCACUGCGCCUCAAGAAGAAGAUGGAGGGGGACCUCAACGACCUGGAGCUACAGCUGGGCCACGCAACCCGCCAGGCCAUGGAGGCACAGGCAGCCACGAGGCUGCUGCAGGCUCAACUCAAGGAGGAACAAGCAGGGCGAGAUGAGGAGCAGAGGCUGGCUGCCGAGCUCCGUGAGCAGGGUCAAGCCCUCGAGCGCAGGGCUGCACUGCUGGCGGCUGAGCUGGAAGAGCUUCGGGCUGCCCUGGAACAGGGCGAGCGCAGCCGGAGGCUGGCUGAGCAGGAGCUGCUGGAGGCCACCGAGCGCCUCAACCUACUGCAUUCGCAGAACACAGGCCUCCUGAACCAGAAAAAGAAGCUGGAGGUGGACUUGGCCCAGCUGAGUGGGGAAGUGGAGGAGGCUGCGCAGGAGAGGCGUGAAGCUGAGGAGAAGGCCAAAAAGGCCAUCACUGAUGCAGCCAUGAUGGCCGAGGAGCUGAAAAAGGAACAGGACACGAGCGCACACCUGGAACGGAUGAAGAAGACCCUGGAACAGACCGUGCGGGAGCUGCAGGCACGCCUUGAGGAAGCCGAGCAGGCCGCACUUCGGGGUGGGAAGAAGCAAGUGCAGAAGCUGGAGGCCAAGGUGCGGGAGCUGGAGGCCGAGCUGGAUGCAGAGCAGAAAAAGCAUGCCGAGGCCCUCAAGGGGGUGCGUAAACACGAGCGCCGGGUCAAGGAGCUCGUGUACCAGACUGAAGAGGACAGGAAGAACCUGGCUCGCAUGCAGGACCUGGUGGACAAGCUGCAGAGCAAGGUCAAGAGCUACAAGCGUCAGUUUGAGGAGGCGGUGAGCACACUGGGGGCCAGGUAUCUGGGACUGUUCGGGACACUAGUGGCGAGCUGCUUUCAGCUGCGGAACUGGCAGCCAGGGACGCAUCUGCAGCAGGCUCAACUAACGGGUAGCAGCCCCACCCUCUCAACUCAUGGACUUCUAUGGCUACAGCAGGGGUCACUUACAACUAUAGAAUGGACUUAAAAAGUGAGUGGUUUCUAUCCUCAGCCCAGGCACGGUGGGCAGGUGACAGAGGCACUUCUUGAAGGAUGGUCUCCACUUUUUUCCCUCCUGUGUGGGUUCUAGUAAGGGGAGGCUGGUGACAGGAAGAGUGGAGGGAGGACCAGGAGAAGUCACUUCUUUCUGGGGAUGGGAGCAGGUGGCCAUUUUAGUUACCAACGGGAAACAAGGCUCUGCAUAUGGCUCCAGGAGCAGCAGGCCAGUACCAACCUGGCUAAGUACCGCAAGGCCCAGCACGAGCUGGAUGAUGCCGAGGAACGGGCAGACAUGGCAGAGACCCAGGCCAACAAGCUGCGGGCAAGGUCCAGGGAUGCCCUGGGCCCCAAGCACAAGGAGUGACACCCAGGCUCUGAGGAGGGAUACCCCACCCCUGCGAUCCUGUUGUCUCUUUCCAUCUGCCACUCCACCCUCCCUGAGCCCCUGAACCCCAAAUAAACACCCUGUCUGCAGCAGUA